rnacentral:rRNA from 1 species
UACGAAGGUCCCAAGCGUUGUUCGGAAUCACUGGGCGUAAAGGGAGCGUAGGCGGCGUGGUAAGUCAGAUGUGAAAUCCCGGGGCUCAACCCCGGAACUGCAUCCGAUACUGCCAUGCUUGAGGGUUGGAGAGGUAGCUGGAAUUCUCGGUGUAGCAGUGAAAUGCGUGGAUAUCGAGAGGAACACUCGUGGCGAAGGCGAGCUGCUGGACAGCAUCUGACGCUGAGGCUCGAAGGCUAGGGGAGCAAAAGGG